UUCCGGUUGAUCCUGCCGGAGGCGACCGCUAUUGGAGUUCGAUUAAGCCAUGCGAGUAGAAAGAAAUUAGAUUCUUUGCAUACUGCUCAGUAACACGUGGAUAACCUGCCCUACACUGGGGGAUAAUCUUGGGAAACUGAGAAUAAUACCCCAUAGGCCACUACGCCUGGAACGGUGAGUGGUUGAAAGCUCAGGCGGUGUAGGAUGGGUCUGCGGCGUAUCAGGUCGUAGGGGGUGUAAUGGACCUCCUAGCCAUCGACGCGUACGGGUUGUGGGAGCAAUAGCCCGGAGACGGAUUCUGAGACACGAAUCCGGACCCUACGGGGUGCAGCAGGCGCGAAAACUUCGCACUGCAGGAAACUGUGAUGAGGGAACUCCAAGUGACUGCACAAUGUGUAGCCUUUUCUUGAAUUUUAAUUGUUCUUGGAAUAAGGGCUGGGAAAGACCGGUGCCAGCCGCCGCGGUAAUACCGGCAGCUCAAGUGGUCGUCGCUUUUAUUGGGCCUAAAACGUCCGUAGCCUGUUUGGUAAAUCUGUGGGUAAAUCAACGAGCUUAACUCGUUGAAUUCUGCAGAGACUGCCAGACUAGGGACCGGGAGAGGUGUGAGGUACUCUGGGGGUAGGGGUAAAAUCCUGUCAUCCUCAGAGGACCACCUGUUGCGAAGGCGUCACACUGGAACGGAUCCGACGGUCAGGGACGAAGCCUAGGGGCACGAACCGGAUUAGAUACCCGGGUAGUCCUAGGUGUAAACGCUGUGGAUUUGGUGUGUGGGGUCCGCAAUGGGCCCCAUGUGCCGGAGUGAAGAUGUUAAAUCCACUGCCUGGGGAGUAUGGUCGCAAGGCUGAAACUUAAAGGAAUUGGCGGGGGAGCACUGCAACGGGAGGAGCGUGCGGUUUAAUUGGAUUCAACGCCGGG
rnacentral:rRNA from 1 species